rnacentral:lncRNA from 1 species
GGGUUCGUUGGUGUGACGAUUCGUGUGUGGUGGUCGUUCGAGAAACUUUGGAGAAUUAAAGUCUAGACUCAGGGGAGUUUAGCUUAGGGUUAGGUUAUCCUGAUUAAAUCUAGGCUCAGGAGAGUUUAGUUAAGGGUAGAGAUUUAUCCUUAAGGUUUCACGUUAUAGAAGGGAGCGGUAAAUCAAGAGGGUUGGGCUUGUUUUACGCGUUUGCGAAUUGGUUUUAAUUUGCUUUCUUGUUCUAGUGAAAUCGAAUCUGGACUUGGUUCCGGGGAGUAGGAAAAACCGAACCUCGUUAACAAAUUUCUUGUCUCGUUUACUUUCUGCAAUUUAUCUUACCUCAUCCGCACUUACAAUUGGUAUCAGAGCGGGUUCUCGAUAGAGAUUUAGUCUUGUUUCGGGUAGAUCAGGGUGAGGUUCAGGAGAUCGUUCAGAAGAUUGUUCAGGAGAUCGUUCAGGAGAUCAUUCAGGAAAUCGUUCAGGAAGUAAAACAGAGCUAAGCAUCGUGCGUUAUGGAUUCAUACAUCUCAGGAAUAUUUGGUCUAAGAGAGUUAAUCAUUAUGAUGAUGGUGCAAUGGUAUUUCAUUCUUCGUUUAGAUGGAGGCGAUCGUUUGGUUAGUUUUUGACCAUGAUGUGACUCAAGUAAGGGGAGAUUGGAGUUAUUGGUGUUGUGUUACUGGUGAUGAAGUUAUUGAAGCUAGAGUUGUUGAGUUCACAUACAUAGUCAAAAAGGGAGAGAUUGAAGAUGCAGUUAUUUUGGUGUUCUGUACUAGUCGUUGAAGUAGUACAGAAAGUAGUACAAGAUGUGAUUCAGGAAGAUGAGAUGCAUAAUUGCUGAUGGGGGGGCUCGAGUACUUGGGUGUUGGAGCGUUUGUCAAGUCAAGAAAAGGAAAAUUAUCUUUGUUUGAAGCAAAAGGAGUCAUGUAAGUAAAGUGGAAGUUUGCUUGAAGAGAAAAGGAAAUUGACAAAAAGGAAAACCUUUUCCUUAUGGGAUUUGGAAACUUUCUCUUAUGUGUGAUUGGAAGAGCUUGAGGCGCAAGUUUCUUUUUGUUAUAUAAGGGGGACGUGACCUUAUGAGAAUGUGGAUUUGCAAGAGUAAAAAUCCCAAGGAGAUUCGAUGUGAGAGAUUGUGUGUGUGAUCGUGUGAGACGUAGUUUCGCGGGUUAAAUGCUUGUGUGAUCAAGCUUAUUUGUGUGUUGGUGUUGAAGGUUCUCGUUGGAGAGUUUUGGUGACCAUUGGGUUCGUUGGUGUGACGAUUCGUGUGUGGUGGUCGUUCAAGAAACUUUGGAGAAUUAAAGUCUAGACUCAGGGGAGUUUAGCUUAGGGUUAGGUUAUCCUGAUUAAAUCUAGGCUCAGGAGAGUUUAGUUAAGGGUAGAGAUUUAUCCUUAAGGUUUCACGUUAUAGAAGGGAGCGGUAAAUCAAGAGGGUUGGGCUUGUUUUACGCGUUUGCGAAUUGGUUGUAAUUUGCUUUCUUGUUCUAGUGAAAUCGAAUCUGGACUUGGU